rnacentral:rRNA from 1 species
CUCAUGAUGAACGCUAGCUACAGGCUUAACACAUGCAAGUCGAGGGGCAGCAUGGUCUUAGCUUGCUAAGGCCGAUGGCGACCGGCGCACGGGUGAGUAACACGUAUCCAACCUGCCGUCUACUCUUGGACAGCCUUCUGAAAGGAAGAUUAAUACAAGAUGGCAUCAUGAGUCCGCAUGUUCACAUGAUUAAAGGUAUUCCGGUAGACGAUGGGGAUGCGUUCCAUUAGAUAGUAGGCGGGGUAACGGCCCACCUAGUCUUCGAUGGAUAGGGGUUCUGAGAGGAAGGUCCCCCACAUUGGAACUGAGACACGGUCCAAACUCCUACGGGAGGCAGCAGUGAGGAAUAUUGGUCAAUGGGCGAGAGCCUGAACCAGCCAAGUAGCGUGAAGGAUGACUGCCCUAUGGGUUGUAAACUUCUUUUAUAAAGGAAUAAAGUCGGGUAUGGAUACCCGUUUGCAUGUACUUUAUGAAUAAGGAUCGGCUAACUCCGUGCCAGCAGCCGCGGUAAUACGGAGGAUCCGAGCGUUAUCCGGAUUUAUUGGGUUUAAAGGGAGCGUAGAUGGAUGUUUAAGUCAGUUGUGAAAGUUUGCGGCUCAACCGUAAAAUUGCAGUUGAUACUGGAUAUCUUGAGUGCAGUUGAGGCAGGCGGAAUUCGUGGUGUAGCGGUGAAAUGCUUAGAUAUCACGAAGAACUCCGAUUGCGAAGGCAGCCUGCUAAGCUGCAACUGACAUUGAGGCUCGAAAGUGUGGGUAUCAAACAGGAUUAGAUACCCUGGUAGUCCACACGGUAAACGAUGAAUACUCGCUGUUUGCGAUAUACUGCAAGCGGCCAAGCGAAAGCGUUAAGUAUUCCACCUGGGGAGUACGCCGGCAACGGUGAAACUCAAAGGAAUUGACGGGGGCCCGCACAAGCGGAGGAACAUGUGGUUUAAUUCGAUGAUACGCGAGGAACCUUACCCGGGCUUAAAUUGCAGAUGAAUUACGGUGAAAGCCGUAAGCCGCAAGGCAUCUGUGAAGGUGCUGCAUGGUUGUCGUCAGCUCGUGCCGUGAGGUGUCGGCUUAAGUGUCAUAACGAGCGCAACCCUUGUUGUCAGUUACUAACAGGUUCCGCUGAGGACUCUGACAAGACUGCCAUCGUAAGAUGUGAGGAAGGUGGGGAUGACGUCAAAUCAGCACGGCCCUUACGUCCGGGGCUACACACGUGUUACAAUGGGGGGUACAGAGGGCCGCUACCACGCGAGUGGAUGCCAAUCCCCAAAACCUCUCUCAGUUCGGACUGGAGUCUGCAACCCGACUCCACGAAGCUGGAUUCGCUAGUAAUCGCGCAUCAGCCACGGCGCGGUGAAUACGUUCCCGGGCCUUGUACACACCGCCCGUCAAGCCAUGGGAGCCGGGGGUACCUGAAGUGCGUAACCGCGAGGAGCGCCCUAGGGUAAAACUGG